CAGCCCACCAGGCUCCCCCACCCCUGGGAUUCUCCAGGCAAGAACAUUGGAGCGGGUUGCCAUUUCCUUCUCCAGUGCAUGAAAGUGAAAAAUGAAAGUGAAGUCGCUCAGUCGUGUCCGACUCUCAGCGACCCCAUGGACUGCAGCCUACCAGGCUCCUCCGUCCAUGGGAUUUUCCAGGCAAGAGUACUAGAGUGGGGUGCCAUUGACUUCUCCGAUGUUUCCUUAUAGGAAGCACAAAAGCUUUUUUCUCCCUCCUGAUAUUUACUGUGAGGAUCUGGUGGACAACCUAGAGAUACAUUUUUAAGAAUUUAAAGGAGAUCAAACCAGUCAAUCCUAAAGAAAAUCAACCCUGAAUAUUCAUUGGAAGGACUGAUGCUGAAGUUGAAGCUCCAAUACUUUGGCCACCUGAUGCGAAGAGCUGACCCAUUGGAAAAGACCCUGAUGCUAAGAAAGGUUGAAGGCAAAAGGAGAAGAGGCGACAGAAGAUAAAAUGGUUAGCUAGCAUCAACAACUUAAUGGACAUGAGCUUGAGCAAACUCUGGGAGACAAUGGAGGACAGAGGAGCCUGGAGUGCUGUAGUCCAUGGGGUUGCCAAGAGUUAGACACGACUUAGAGACUAUUUAGCAACAACAAAUAUUUAAGAAUAUGUCGAAGAAAGAGAAAGUGGAGAAAAUAUGCAAUAAAAUUAAUGGUUGUCAUUCUGGG